rnacentral:lncRNA from 10 species
GAGACGGAGUUUCACCAUGUUGGCCAGGCUGGUCUCGAACUGCUGACCUCAGGUGAUCCGCCCGCCUUGGCCUCCCAAAAUGCUGGAAUUACAGGUGUGAGCCACCAUGCCUGGCCUCUCUGAAUAUAUUUUUACAGAGUACUUUCACAUACACUGUCUUAUUAACCCUACAAGAUCAGUGGUAUUGUCCCCAUUUUUCUGAUUAAGAGAACUAGAUUCAGAGGUGAAGUUACUUCACCCAGAGAUCUCACAGCUAGUAAGAAGAGGAAUUAGGACGAGGACUCAGAUCUUGGGACUCACUCACCAGUGCUUUUUCUACUCUGUCUUGUGCUGCGGAGCCCUGGAGGUGCCCAUCUCAAGCACAGGCAAGGUCAGGUGUGGACUGUGUGGACUCUGAGAGCAGAUGAGGAUGGGUCUUUAGAGCUGAGGCUGCAUGUUGUGCCUGGGUCAGUCCACCUUCCUUCGCUUUAACCACCCGGCUGAAGCCAAGUGGAUGAAAAGCAUGAUUCCAGCAGGGGGCCGAGCCCCUGGGCCCCCCUACAGCCCUGUUCCUG